rnacentral:rRNA from 1 species
CCUACGGGAGGCAGCAGUGGGGAAUAUUGCACAAUGGACGGAAGUCUGAUGCAGCAACGCCGCGUGCGGGAUGACGGCCUUCGGGUUGUAAACCGCUUUCAUCCAUGACGAAGCUUUUGUGACGGUAGUGGGUAAAGAAGCACCGGCUAACUACGUGCCAGCAGCCGCGGUGAUACGUAGGGUGCGAGCGUUGUCCGGAUUUAUUGGGCGUAAAGGGCUUGUAGGCGGUUUGUCGCGUCGGGAGUGAAAACUCGGAGCUUAACUUUGAGCUUGCUUUCGAUACGGGCUGACUUGAGGGAGGUAGGGGAGAAUGGAAUUCCUGGUGGAGCGGUGGAAUGCGCAGAUAUCAGGAGGAACACCGGUGGCGAAGGCGGUUCUCUGGACCUUUCCUGACGCUGAGAAGCGAAAGCGUGGGGAGCGAACAGGAUUAGAUACCCUUGUAGCC